rnacentral:rRNA from 1 species
UACAGAGGGUGCGAGCGUUGUUCGGAAUUAUUGGGCGUAAAGGGCGCGUAGGCGGCGCCACAAGUCACUUGUGAAAACUCUGGGCUCAACUCAGAGCCUGCAAGCGAAACUGUGGUGCUGGAGUAUGGGAGAGGUGCGUGGAAUUCCCGGUGUAGCGGUGAAAUGCGUAGAUAUCGGGUGGAACACCUGUGGCGAAAGCGGCGCACUGGACCAUAACUGACGCUGAGGCGCGAAAGCUAGGGGAGCAAACAGG